rnacentral:rRNA from 1 species
UACAGAGGUCUCAAGCGUUGUUCGGAUUCAUUGGGCGUAAAGGGUGCGUAGGUGGUGGGGUAAGUCGGAUGUGAAAUCCCGGGGCUCAACCCCGGAACUGCAUUCGAAACUGCCUUGCUCGAGUACUGGAGAGGAGACUGGAAUUUACGGUGUAGCAGUGAAAUGCGUAGAUAUCGUAAGGAAGACCAGUGGCGAAGGCGAAUCUCUGGACAGUUACUGACACUGAGGCACGAAGGCCAGGGGAGCAAACGGG